AUACCCAUGUCCAGAGUUCUGUAGAUGGUGGCCAUGGGAGCUUCAAGACAGAGGUCUCCACCCAGACAGUCAGUUUCGGGGCUGUAGGAGAGACAGUCACUCUGCAUAUUGACCCAGAUGGUGGAGAGGCUCCAGGCCCCUCCCAGGGCUGAUGCCACACACUGGGGACACAGCAUGGGGACAACAAGGUAAGGCAAGUGGCCCAGAGCCUUGGACCCUGCAGGUACCAGCAUCAACCCUGGAACCCACAGCUUACCUCGGGGACCUCCCACCCCCUCUUCUUCUCCAGCCUGGGAUUGAGCCUUCCUUGCUUUCCUGCCCGGUCCCGUCUACCUCACUGGACCUGAUCUCUGCCGGGAGGAUGGAGGAAGUACCUGCAGAGUUGGCAUAUGCCGAUGUCACUUCAGAAGAGCCCCCGCCAGGAGCAGUCCCAAGACUCUGACUCUGGACUCCACCUCUCAGGCCCUGCGGGGCUCUAGAAACAAGAUGUGGACUUGGGUGUUUGCCCUGAGACAUAGCCCCAUUGAGGGUCUUCUUUAGUGCUACUCCCAAGACAUGCAUUGACUCACCAGCUCUGCAGCUCUUCAGGGCCACCUCUGUGGUGGACACGGCUGUAGGGUGGGGGGAAAUCCCUGGCCAUUGCCCUGAUGAGAACAAUAAAUCAAGUCCCAUACCCUC
rnacentral:lncRNA from 1 species